GGAGGCUCUCAGAGGCGGGUCGCGGAAGCCGGUCAUUCUAGGAAUAUGAACUUGGAUCCACACUCAUCCACAGGUGAUAUUAUCACCUAUGGCUGAGUCUGGAGUUAGAGGAAUAGUAAAGCCACAAUG